rnacentral:rRNA from 1 species
UACGUAGGUGGCAAGCGUUAUCCGGAUUUACUGGGUGUAAAGGGCGUGUAGGCGGGAGUGCAAGUCAGAUGUGAAAACCACGGGCUCAACCUGUGGCCUGCAUUUGAAACUGUACUUCUUGAGUACUGGAGAGGCAGACGGAAUUCCUAGUGUAGCGGUGAAAUGCGUAGAUAUUAGGAGGAACACCAGUGGCGAAGGCGGUCUGCUGGACAGCAACUGACGCUGAGGCUCGAAAGCGUGGGUAGCAAACAGG